ACUUUGACCUGUACUGAUGAAGAGUGAAUUGGAAAGAGAUGGUCUCCAGACUACCAUGUUCUGUGUCCCUCAGAUCCAGUGCUGAAUGAACAGACCAUCUCCAACACAGAAACCAAGGCAAUAAGUGGAUCCAAUGCAACAUGAUGGACAGAGAGGAGAUCCAGUGCUGAAUGAACAGACCAUCUCCAACACAGACACCAAGGCAAUAAGUGGAUCCAAUGCAAUAAGUGGAUCCAAUGCAAUAAGUGGAUCCAAUGCAACAUGAUGGACAGAGAGGAGGAAAACCUUUGUUACCUCAACUUGUGACCCUUUCGUGGCAGAAACGAUUUGCCUCCAAGUCUACAGCCAUACUGGAGCAAGAAGUCAACUUGCAACACACACAACACUCUUGGAUCAAACCUAAAUCUUUCACAACGUGGGUUCUAGCGUUGCUUGGCCCCAGUCACACACAACGUAUCGGAUCCAAGCUAUGAGGUGUGAUAUUGCCUCCUAGAACUGCCCCCCCGAAAUCCCUGCCCGCUCCCCACCCCACCCAGCUCAACUCCCCUCUGUUUUCAAAUAAGCUGAUGUCAGAUGUGAUACAGAAACUGACUCCAGGUCAGUUUGGCACUGGUGUUGUGCUGUGAGAUGUGUUGGUCAGUAUGGAGCUGCACUGGCCUGGGGUCAGAUCUAUAACAGCACUGAGUGGCAUGGA